rnacentral:rRNA from 1 species
UGUAGACCCGAAACCGGGUGAUCUAUCCAUGUCCAGGUUGAAGUUCGCGUAAAAGUGAAUGGAGGACCGAACGCACAUCCGUUGAAAAGGGUGGCGAUGAGGUGUGGAUAGGGGAGAAAUUCCAAUCGAACCCGGAGAUAGCUGGUUCUCCUCGAAAUAGUUUUAGGACUAGCCUCGUUAUUAGUCUACCGGAGGUAGAGCACUGAAUUUUUGCGGGGGCGUCAAAGCCUACCAAGAGAUAUCAAACUCCGAAUGCCGGCUAGAUGAUUGACGGGAGUCAGACUGCACGAGAUAAGUUGGGUAGUCAAAAGGGAAAGAGCCCAGACCUACGGCUAAGGUCCCAAAGUGUGUGUUAAGUGGAAAAGGAUGUGGGAUUUCGAAGACAGCUAGGAUGUUGGCUUAGAAGCAGCCAUACAUUAAAAGAGUGCGUAACAGCUCACUAGUCGAGAGGUCCUGCGCCGAAAAUGUCCGGGGCUAAACACAACACCGAAGCCUGGGAAUGUAGUAAUACAUUGGUAGAGGAGCAUUCUUAGAAGCGUAGAAGCCAUACCGGAAGGAAUGGUGGAGUAAUAAGAAGAGAGAAUGCCGGAAUGAGUAGCGAGAAAGAGGUGAGAAUCCUCUUGGCCGAAUAUCUAAGGUUUCCUGAGUAAAGCUGAUCUACUCAGGGUAAGUCGGGGCCUAAGGCAAGGUCGAAAGACGUAGUCGAUGGAUAACAGGUACAGAUUCCUGUACUACAUAUAAUCAGAACUGUGGGGACACGGAGACUAAAACCGAACCCGGGAGGACAAAAACCGGGGCAAGCGAAGUACCUGUAUGGGAGGAAAAACCACCAUACAAGGGGAAUGCGUGAUGCGUACCGAAAAUUAGUAGGGAAGUCGGUUAGGGAGCCGUCAAGAAAAGCCGCUAUUGUGUUAUAUGUACCCGUACCGCAAACCGACACAGGUAGAUGAGGAGAGAAUCCUAAGGCCGGCGGGAGAAGCAUUGUUAAGGAACUCGGCAAAAUGACCCCGUAACUUCGGGAGAAGGGGUGCCACUGGAAACAGUGGUCGCAGAAAAAAGGCUCAAGCAACUGUUUAGCAAAAACACAGGUCUAUGCGAAACCGCAAGGUGAAGUAUAUGGGCUGACGCCUGCCCGGUGCCGGAAGGUUAAGAGGAGAAGUCAGGAAACGAAGCUUUGAAUUGAAGCCCCGGUAAACGGCGGCCGUAACUAUAACGGUCCUAAGGUAGCGAAAUUCCUUGUCGGGUAAGUUCCGACCCGCACGAAAGGCGUAAUGAUUUGAGCGCUGUCUCAACAAUGCACCCGGUGAAAUUGAAGUACCAGUGAAGAUGCUGGUUACCCGCGCCAGGACGGAAAGACCCCAUGGAGCUUUACUCCAGUUUGGUACUGGGAUUCGGUAAUACUCGUACAGGAUAGGUGGGAGACAUAGAAGCAUGGACGCCAGUUUAUGCAGAGUCGCCGUUGGGAUACCACCCCUGUAUUGCUGGAUUUCUAACCUGCAUCCGUAAUCCGGAUGGGGGACAAUGCCAGACGGGGAGUUUGACUGGGGCGGUCGCCUCCGAAAGAGUAUCGGAGGCGCUCGA